rnacentral:lncRNA from 1 species
CCGUCACUGGCCAGGGAACUCCUACGUGGAAUAAACAAAGCUGAUGUGUAAAGAAUUCUGAGGUGUGCUUCACAGGUCACCACACACAGCUAGCCUUCUGUUGGGGUCUGGCCCAGCCCUGUGCUUGGGUAAGGACAGAAGGCUCUGGGUGACGCUCCGUGAAGGAGAACCCAGUUGCUGGGCAUUGUCUCUUGUGCGGUGAUGCUGAUGCCUAUCCUUUGGUCUCAUGCCUGGCUCUGCUUUGCUGCGCAGCUCUGUCUCCCACUCCGUGCUGUCUGAGAUGCAGGUGAUUGAGCAGGAAACCCCAGUGAGUGCAAAAUCCUCUCGCUCGCAGCUGGACUUGUUUGACGAUGUUGGUACUUUCGCCUCUGGACCCCCAAAGUACAAGGACAAUCCCUUUUCCUUAGGGGAAAGCUUUGGCUCCCGCUGGGAUACAGAUGCUGCCUGGGGU